rnacentral:rRNA from 1 species
AAUUUUGGACCAUGGGGUCAACCCUGAUCCAGCCAGCCCGCGUGUGCGAUGAAGGCCUUCGGGUUNUCAAGCACUUUUGGCAGGGANGAAAAGGCGCGGGCUAAUACACGGCGCCGCUGACGGUACCUGCAGAAUAAGCACCGGCUAACUACGUGCCAACAGCCGCGGUAAUACGUAGGGUGCAAGCGUUAAUCGGAAUUACUGGGCGUAAAGCGUGCGCAGGCGGUUCGGCAAGAAGGAUGUGAAAUCCCGGGGCUUAACCUCGGAACUGCAUUCUUAACUGCCGGGCUAGAGUAUGUCAGAGGGGGGUAGAAUUCCACGUGUAGCAGUGAAAUGCGUAGAGAUGUGGAGGAAUACCGAUGGCGAAGGCAGCCCCCUGGGAUGAUACUGACGCUCAUGCACGAAAGCGUGGGGAGCAAAC